rnacentral:rRNA from 1 species
GGCAGGCUUAACACAUGCAAGUCGAGCGGGGAAAAGUAGCUUGCUACUUAACUUAGCGGCGGACGGGUGAGUAAUACUUAGGAAUCUGCCUAUUAGUGGGGGACAACAUUUCGAAAGGAAUGCUAAUACCGCAUACGUCCUACGGGAGAAAGCAGGGGAUCACUUGUGACCUUGCGCUAAUAGAUGAGCCUAAGUCGGAUUAGCUAGUUGGUGGGGUAAAGGCCUACCAAGGCGACGAUCUGUAGCGGGUCUGAGAGGAUGAUCCGCCACACUGGGACUGAGACACGGCCCAGACUCCUACGGGAGGCAGCAGUGGGGAAUAUUGGACAAUGGGGGGAACCCUGAUCCAGCCAUGCCGCGUGUGUGAAGAAGGCCUUUUGGUUGUAAAGCACUUUAAGCGAGGAGGAGGCUACUCUAGUUAAUACCUAGAGAUAGUGGACGUUACUCGCAGAAUAAGCACCGGCUAACUCUGUGCCAGCAGCCGCGGUAAUACAGAGGGUGCGAGCGUUAAUCGGAUUUACUGGGCGUAAAGCGUGCGUAGGUGGCCAAUUAAGUCAAAUGUGAAAUCCCCGAGCUUAACUUGGGAAUUGCAUUCGAUACUGGUUGGCUAGAGUAUGGGAGAGGAUGGUAGAAUUCCAGGUGUAGCGGUGAAAUGCGUAGAGAUCUGGAGGAAUACCGAUGGCGAAGGCAGCCAUCUGGCCUAAUACUGACACUGAGGUACGAAAGCAUGGGGAGCAAACAGGAUUAGAUACCCUGGUAGUCCAUGCCGUAAACGAUGUCUACUAGCCGUUGGGGUCUUUGAGACUUUAGUGGCGCAGCUAACGCGAUAAGUAGACCGCCUGGGGAGUACGGUCGCAAGACUAAAACUCA